rnacentral:rRNA from 1 species
GAUGAACGCUGGCGGCGUGCCUAAUACAUGCAAGUCGAGCGAACAGACGAGGAGCUUGCUCCUCUGACGUUAGCGGCGGACGGGUGAGUAACACGUGGAUAACCUACCUAUAAGACUGGGAUAACUUCGGGAAACCGGAGCUAAUACCGGAUAAUAUAUUGAACCGCAUGGUUCAAUAGUGAAAGCCGGUUUUGCUGUCACUUAUAGAUGGAUCCGCGCCGCAUUAGCUAGUUGGUAAGGUAACGGCUUACCAAGGCAACGAUGCGUAGCCGACCUGAGAGGGUGAUCGGCCACACUGGAACUGAGACACGGUCCAGGCUCCUACGGGAGGCAGCAGUAGGGAAUCUUCCGCAAUGGGCGAAAGCUUGACGGAGCAACGCCGCGUGAGUGAUGAAGGUCUUCGGAUCGUAAAACUCUGUUAUUAGGGAAGAACAAAUGUGUAAGUAACUAUGCACGUCUUGACGGUACCUAAUCAGAAAGCCACGGCUAACUACGUG